GCCCUGGUGGUGCAGUGGUUAAACACUCAGCUGCUAACUGAAAGGUUGGUGGUUCAAACCCACCCAGUGGCU
rnacentral:tRNA from 1 species